GAUGAACGCUGGCGGCGUGCUUAACACAUGCAAGUCGAGUGAGAAGUCUUGAAAAGAUUCUUCGGAUGAAAUUUAAAAUGGAAAGCGGCGGACGGGUGAGUAACGCGUAGGCAACCUGCCCCAUACAAAGGGAUAGCAUUUGGAAACGAAUAUUAAUACCUUAUGAAACUUAACUAGUGCAUGUUAGGUAGGUUAAGGAUUGAUCGGUAUGGGAUGGGCCUGCGUCUGAUUAGUUAGUUGGCGAGGUAACGGCUAAUCAAGGCGACGAUCAGUAGCCGACCAGGGAGAGUGGACAGACAGGUAGGGAGAGACGGCCGAUACUAAUACGGGCGGGAGCAGGGGGUAGGAAUGAAUGAUCGGUGGAAGCAAGACUGAUGCAGGACGGGCGCGUGAUCAAUGAAGGCGUUUGGGACAUAGAGUUCUGUUCUGAGGGAUGGAAACUGACAGUAACCUAGGAGGAAGCACCGGCUAACUACGUG
rnacentral:rRNA from 1 species